rnacentral:ncRNA from 1 species
UUUCUUCCGAAAACAAGCUCAAUGAGAGCCAUCGGGGGUAGAUCUAUCUCAUGACGAGUGGUGGAAUACUUUGACUCAUGAGAGAGAAGCUGAGGCGAAGGCGUCUACCUAGAGGGUUUCUGUCGAUCAAGGGCGAGAGUAGGAGUAUCCAACAGGAUUAGAGACCCUGGUAGUUCCUACCUUAAACGAUGCCGACAGGAGUUUGUCAUUUGUUAAUGGCAGAAUCUUUGGAGAAAUCAUAGUUCUUGGGCUCUGGGGGAACUACGACCGCAAGGCUGAAACUUGAAGGAAUUGACGGAAGGGCACACCAGGGGUGGAGCCUGUGGCUUAAUUUGAAUCAACACGGGGAAACUUACCAGGACCAGAUGUUUUUUAUGACUGACAGGCUUCGGGUCUUUCAGGAUAUUGUUUUUGGUGGUGCAUGGCCGUUGGUGGUGCGUGGGUUGACCUGUCUAGCGUUGAUUCAGCUAACGAGCGAGAUUAUCGCCAAUUAUUUACUUUGCCGAAGUCCUUCGGUUAAAGUUCUAAUUGGGACUCCCUGCGAUUUUAGCAGGUGGAAGAGGGUAGCAAUAACAGGUCCGUGAUGCCCUUUAGAUGCUCUGGGCUGCACGCGUGCUACAAUGUUAGGAUCAAUAGGACUGCGAGCCUGAGAGGGUGCGCUACUCUUAUAAUCCCUAACGUAGUUGGGAUUGACGUUUGUAAUCAGCGUCAUGAACCAGGAAUCCCUUGUAAAUGUGUGUCAACAACGCACGUUGAAUACGUCCCUGCCCUUUGUACACACCGCCCGUCGCUCCUACCGAUUGGAUGACUCGGUGAAAUCACCGGAUGCUUACGAGCAGAAAGUGAUUAAAUCACGUUAUCUAGAGGAAGGAGAAGUCGUAACAAGGUAACGGUAGGUGAACCUGCCGUGGAUCAGUU